GCGCCCGUAGCUCAAUUGGAUAGAGCAUCUGACUUCGGAUCAGAGGGUUAGGGGUUCGAGUCCCUUCGGGCGUGCCA
rnacentral:tRNA from 1 species